GGGUGUAUAGCUCAGUGGUAGAGUGCGUGCUUUGUGUGCACGAGGUCCUGGGCUCAAUCCCCAGUGCCUCCA
rnacentral:tRNA from 1 species